AAGGACAUAACUGAAGCAUUUUCGACGUUAAAUUAAGAUAAGAAAACAUCAACGUGUAACAACGUGUUGUUACACGUACAAAACACGUUAUGAAGACGAUGGGUUACCAACAUAGCCACCGGUCGCCAUAAAUACGCGUUAACAACGUGUAAGUACACGUAGAAACGUGUUACAUGUUAUUUUAUAAAGAUUAUCAGUAAUUUUGUUUUGGCGUAUCGUUUGUAUGUGGCUGACAUGAAAAUUAAUGGAAUUUAAUGACAAAGUUUAGUCUCAGAAAGCCUACUUAGUAGGAACUAAAGUCCAUUUGGUAUUCCCGAGAGGGACCAUUAUCAGUGUUACCCGUCGGUGAAAACGGCUGCUAUGUUAUGUAAUGUGUACAUAUAAUGUAGACCAUUACGAUGUAUUUCCUAUCAUAUCAGCGGCAGAUGCAUACAUUGGAUUGACAUUAAACAUCUCGUUCAAAGACUUCUUUCCUUAUUUUCUUACUAGAAUCUGGUCCAUAUUUGGCCACCUCAACCAGCUAAACCUCAAGAGGCGGUUUCCCAGACAGGGCUUAUCCUGGUCACAGACUAAAAUGCAUGUUUUAGCUGCUUUAAUUAAAAAAACACCUUGUCCUGUUGAAUUUUAAUAUAUUUUGUUGAUAUUGUUUUGUCUUAAGAUGCACACCUUUAGUGUUUUUUGUAAGGUAUGUUUGUAAAAACUUCUUAAAUUACCAAAUAUUUAUAAGGCCUAGUCAUGGAUUAACCUAAACCCUGUUCCGGGAAACCUCCCCUAAAUGUAGUAAGGUUUACUACAACCAGACCAUCAACCUUAUCACUUUGACAUGUACUGUAUGACUUUUAUUUGAAUGAAUAAUACAGUUACUAUAACAUCUUACAAUGUUGAUACUUCUUUUUAGUUUCUUCUUUUUAGUGCCUGCAUAGAACUUCCCGUAACAGGCAAUGCUGUAACAUUCCACAUAAGCAAAUUGCCUUCUGCGUGACAGUCUGCAUGACAGUGUUUAGUACGGCUGAUUCUUUAGGUUGUGAGAAUCGUGGAGGUGGAGUACAAAUGAACCCAAUUGUAAUAGUGUAGAAUUUUUAUCACACAACUUGUUUUAGGAGCUUUAUUUACUCUCCCUUAAGAAAAAUAAACAUGCAGUAAAGCCGAUUGAUUGCCUAUUGGUUUACUACAAAUAGCAUGGAUAUAUAUAUAUAUAUUAAUACAGUAGCAAAACUCUUUAUUUUCUAACAUCCUUGGUAGGUUGUUAUUUUCUAUUUUAUCAUAUUACUCACGUAUUAAGAUUAUAAAUGUUGCUGUAAAGUAAUUGAAGAAAUUAUUUAAAUUAUUAUCUCUUGAAUAUGCAAAUGAAAAGUGCAGUUGAAGUUUUAAGCCUUUAUUUUCAUAUGUAUUACCUGUACAUUCUUCCUUUUUUAUUACCACAUUACUUUCAACUGUGAUUGUCAUUAAAAUAAUAAAGUAGAAAUAAACCUGUUAUACAAUA